ACAGUACCCUGUUCCUGCUUUCUCCCCAUAUCCCUUGAUUCCUUCAACACCAAGAGCUAAAAAUACCUCUCUCUUGAAAACAUCCAGUGAAUUGGCCUCCACUGUCUUCUGUGGCAGAGAAUUCCACAGAUUCACAACUCUCUGGGUGAAGAAGGUUUGUCCUCA